rnacentral:rRNA from 1 species
GACGAACGCUGGCGGCGUGCCUAAUACAUGCAAGUUGAGCGAUGAAGAUUGGUGCUUGCACCAAUUUGAAGAGCAGCGAACGGGUGAGUAACGCGUGGGGAAUCUGCCUUUGAGCGGGGGACAACAUUUGGAAACGAAUGCUAAUACCGCAUAACAACUUUAAACAUAAGUUUUAAGUUUGAAAGAUGCAAUUGCAUCACUCAAAGAUGAUCCCGCGUUGUAUUAGCUAGUUGGUGAGGUAAAGGCUCACCAAGGCGAUGAUACAUAGCCGACCUGAGAGGGUGAUCUGCCACAUUGGGACUGAGACACGGCCCAAACUCCUACGGGAGGCAGCAGUAGGGAAUCUUCGGCAAUAGACGAAAGUCUGACCGAGCAACGCCGCGUGAGUGAAGAAGGUUUUCGGAUCGUAAAACUCUGUUGGUAGAGAAGAACGUUGGUGAGAGUGGAAAGCUCAUCAAGUGACGGUAACUACCCAGAAAGGGACGGCUAACUACGUG